rnacentral:rRNA from 1 species
AACGAACGCUGGCGGCGUGCCUAACACAUGCAAGUCGAACGGAAUUAGAGAGCUUGCUCUUUGAUUUAGUGGCGCACGGGUGAGUAACGCGUAGAUAAUCUGCCUGGCGACCUGGGAUAACACUUCGAAAGAGGUGCUAAUACCGGAUAAGCCCACGGGUUCUUUGGAAUCUGCGGGAAAAGGGGGGGACCUUCGGGCCUUCUGUCGUCAGAUGAGUCUGCGUACCAUUAGCUAGUUGGUAGGGUAAAGGCCUACCAAGGCGACGAUGGUUAGGUGGUCUGAAGGGAUGAUCAGCCACACUGGAACUGAGACACGGUCCAGACUCCUACGGGAGGCAGCAGUGGGGAAUUUUGCGCAAUGGGCGAAAGCCUGACGCAGCAACGCCGCGUGAGUGAUGAAGGCUUUCGGGUCGUAAAGCUCUGUCAAUGGGAAAGAAGUGUAUUUUGGCUAAUAUCCUUAAUACUUGACGGUACCCAUAAAGGAAGCACCGGCUAACUCCGUGCCAGCCGCCGCGGUAACAC